rnacentral:lncRNA from 13 species
GAGGCUACGGAAGCCCAAGAUGACCUUGGAAGCUGCAGGCUGAAGAUGGCAGGGCCGGAGUCCCGGAGCUACUGUGUGGAGUAGAGUCCCCAUCUCCUGCUGACCAGGAAUAUAGGCGUUGGCUGUUAUAUUCCAUCAUGGGAAGGAGGAGGGGAAGAUCCUGGAAGAUGGAGCAGAAGCCUAGCAAGAAGCCGAGGUCUCACCUGGCAAGCACUGAGCAGUCUCAACUGGCAAAAUCAAGGUUUCUCCAUCACAGGCUUGGGACUCGAGAGCAAGGGAAGCGGUUACAGACAACACAGCAAGUCCCAGGGUUUAAAAAGGAUGCAAAGAAGCCGGGCAAUAUCCCGCACCCCCUGCAGACCACAGAACUCCGGACGUCGUGCACCUGGUCCAGCCUGCUUUCUCUCCUUGCUGUGUUUACAACUGAGCCUCAGACCCCAGCUCCCUGGGUGAGACUGAACUCCAUCCCUGACCACCAGGGGACCCCUGCUGGGGUUUCUCUGAACACUGCUUGACUUGACCACAAUCAUCUCAGUUUAUACUGAGUUUUUAAAAUUUUGUUUUUGUUUGUCUUGCCUCAUGAAACUGUAAAGUGUCCAUUCUGUCUCAGUCACUUUUGUAUCUUCACAGUCUAGGACAAUGCUUGAUAGAUAUUUGUGGAUACUGAUAAAUAUUUGUUGAUGAGUGAGUGGAUUCAGUGCUC